rnacentral:rRNA from 1 species
AUUGAACGCUGGCGGCAGGCCUAACACAUGCAAGUCGAACGAGUGGCGGACGGGUGAGUAAUGUCUGGGAAACUGCCUGAUGGAGGGGGAUAACUACUGGAAACGGUAGCUAAUACCGCAUACCAUCAGAUUUGCCCAGAUGGGAUUAGCUAGUUGGUGGGUUAACGGCUCACCAAGGCGACGAUCCCUAGCUGGUAUGAGAGGAUGACCAGCCACACUGAAACUGAGACAGGGUCCAGACGCCAACGGGAGGCAGCAGAGGGGAAUAUUGCACAAUGGGCGAAAGCCUGAUGCAGCCAUGCCGCGUGUAUGAAGAAGGCCUUCGGGUUGUAAAGUACUUUCAGCGGGGAGGCGUUACCCGCAGAAGAAGCACCGGCUAACUCAGUGCCAGCCGCCGCGGUAAUAC